CUUGACUAUGACUUGCCCCAAAACUGCAUGUGAUUAUCAUAAAGUGGGCAUGUCUGUAAAGGGGAGACUCGUGGACUCGUGGGUACCCAUAGAACCCAUUUUCAUUCACAUAUCUUGAGGUCAAAGGUCGAGGGAUCCCUUUUCAAAAUGACCAUGCAGGUUUUUCCUCAACAAAAUCUACCAUAAGUUUGGAGCAUUAUUUAACGUCUUUUGACAUGGUUGGUACCAAUGGUUUCCUUAGUUUGUUUAGUUUCAUAUGAUGUCAGUAUCUUCACUAUAUCUUUAAAACUGAGCCCGCUACAACCUUCGAAAGAUCGAUUGUGUUAAGGCGUUAAAGAAAUUAGUGGCAUUAAAACAAAUUUGCGUUCAUUCGUUAUGACCGCGUUAACUUAGACAGCCCUAUGAAAAAUA